rnacentral:misc_RNA from 1 species
UAUGCGCAAGGGAUAGCAGUGUAAAGCCCACAGUAAGUCCGAUGAGAAUCGGGCUUACGAGGACUUGCAACGUAUAGCCCGACCCGAU